rnacentral:rRNA from 1 species
CNGCAAGGUUGAAACUCAAAGGAAUUGACGGGGGCCCGCACAAGCGGUGGAGCAUGUGGUUUAAUUCGAAGCAACGCGAAGAACCUUACCAGGUCUUGACAUCCCGAUGCUAUUUCUAGAGAUAGGAAGUUACUUCGGUACAUCGGUGACAGGUGGUGCAUGGUUGUCGUCAGCUCGUGUCGUGAGAUGUUGGGUUAANNNNNNNAANNNNNCGCAACCCCUAUUGUUAGUUGCCAUCAUUCAGUUGGGCACUCUAGCAAGACUGCCGGUAAUAAACCGGAGGAAGGUGGGGAUGACGUCAAAUCAUCAUGCCCCUUAUGACCUGGGCUACACACGUGCUACAAUGGUUGGUACAACGAGUUGCGAGUCGGUGACGGCGAGCUAAUCUCUUAAAGCCAAUCUCAGUUCGGAUUGUAGGCUGCAACUCG